UAGGGAAUCUUCCGCAAUGGACGCAAGUCUGACGGAGCAACGCCGCGUGAGUGAAGAAGGAUUUCGGAUCGUAAAGCUCUGUUGUUAAGGAAGAACGAGUGUGAGAAUGGAAAGUUCAUGCUGUGACGGUACUUAACCAGAAAGGGACGGCUAACUACGUGCCAGCAGCCGCGGUAAUACGUAGGUCCCGAGCGUUGUCCGGAUUUAUUGGGCGUAAAGCGAGCGCAGGCGGUUAGAAAAGUCUGAAGUGAAAGGCAGUGGCUCAACCAUUGUAGGCUUUGGAAACUGUUUAACUUGAGUGCAGAAGGGGAGAGUGGAAUUCCAUGUGUAGCGGUGAAAUGCGUAGAUAUAUGGAGGAACACCGGUGGCGAAAGCGGCUCUCUGGUCUGUAACUGACGCUGAGGCUCGAAAGCGUGGGGAGCGAACAGGA
rnacentral:rRNA from 1 species